UACGAAGGGUGCAAGCGUUAAUCGGAAUUACUGGGCGUAAAGGGCGCGUAGGCGGUUCGUUAAGUCUGUCGUGAAAUCCCCGGGCUCAACCUGGGAAUGGCGAUGGAUACUGGCGAGCUAGAGUGUGUCAGAGGAUGGUGGAAUUCCCGGUGUAGCGGUGAAAUGCGUAGAGAUCGGGAGGAACAUCAGUGGCGAAGGCGGCCAUCUGGGACAACACUGACGCUGAAGCACGAAAGCGUGGGGAGCAAACAGG
rnacentral:rRNA from 1 species